UACGUAGGGUGCGAGCGUUAAUCGGAAUUACUGGGCGUAAAGCGUGCGCAGGCGGUUCGUUGUGUCGGUGGUGAAAGCCCCGGGCUUAACCUGGGAAUGGCCGUCGAAACUGGCGAACUGGAGUGUGGCAGAGGGGGGUGGAAUUCCGCGUGUAGCAGUGAAAUGCGUAGAGAUGCGGAGGAACACCGAUGGCGAAGGCAGCCCCCUGGGCUGACACUGACGCUCAGGCACGAAGGCGUGGGGAGCGAACGGG
rnacentral:rRNA from 1 species